GGCCAGAGUCAACAUGGUGAUCUGAAGCACAUAUUCCAGGUGUUAGAGGAGAAGAUCAUCACCUUUGUGAAGAAUGAGCUGAAGAGAUUCAAGAGGAUGCUGAGUCCAGAUUACC